rnacentral:rRNA from 1 species
AAACGCUUGAAGUCAGUCGCGUCGUCCGGGACUCAGCCUUGCUUUUGCUUGGUGUACUUUCCGGUUGACGGGCCAACAUCGAUUUUGGCUGGCGGAUAAAGGCAGUUGGAAUGUGGCACCCUCGGGUGUGUUAUAGCCUCCUGUUGAACACGCUGGCCGGGAUCGAGGACCGCAGCGCGCCUUUUGGCCGGGGCUUUGCCCACGUAACGCGCUUAGGAUGUUGGCGUAAUGGCUUUAAACGA